AGAGUUUGAUCAUGGCUCAGAACGAACGCUGGCGGCAGGCCUAACACAUGCAAGUCGAACGGGAUCUUCGGAUCUAGUGGCGGACGGGUUAGUAACGCGUGGGAACGUACCCUUUUCUACGGAAUAGCCUCGGGAAACUGAGAGUAAUACCGUAUACGCCCUUCGGGGGAAAGAUUUAUCGGAGAAGGAUCGGCCCGCGUAAGAUUAGAUAGUUGGUGGGGUAAUGGCCUACCAAGUCUACGAUCUUUAGCUGGUUUGAGAGGAUGAUCAGCAACACUGGGACUGAGACACGGCCCAGACUCCUACGGGAGGCAGCAGUGGGGAAUCUUAGACAAUGGGGGAAACCCUGAUCUAGCCAUGCCGCGUGAGUGACGAAGGCCUUAGGGUCGUAAAGCUCUUUCGCUGGGGAAGAUAAUGACUGUACCCAGUAAAGAAACCCCGGCUAACUCCGUGCCAGCAGCCGCGGUAAU
rnacentral:rRNA from 1 species